UACGAAGGGGGCUAGCGUUACUCGGAUUGACUGGGCGUAAAGCGCACGUAGGCGGAUCGAUCAGUCAGGGGUGAAAUCCCAGAGCUCAACUCUGGAACUGCCUUUGAUACUGUCGAUCUGGAGUAUGGAAGAGGUGAGUGGAAUUCCGAGUGUAGAGGUGAAAUUCGUAGAUAUUCGGAGGAACACCAGUGGCGAAGGCGGCUCACUGGUCCAUUACUGACGCUGAGGUGCGAAAGCGUGGGGAGCAAACAGG
rnacentral:rRNA from 1 species